rnacentral:rRNA from 1 species
AUUGAACGCUGGCGGCAUGCCUUACACAUGCAAGUCGAACGGCAGCGGGGGAGAAGCUUGCUUUUCCUGCCGGCGAGUGGCGAACGGGUGAGUAAUACAUCGGAACGUGCCCUGUAGUGGGGGAUAACUAGUCGAAAGAUUAGCUAAUACCGCAUACGACCUGAGGGUGAAAGUGGGGGACCGCAAGGCCUCAUGCUAUAGGAGCGGCCGAUGUCUGAUUAGCUAGUUGGUGGGGUAAAGGCCUACCAAGGCGACGAUCAGUAGCUGGUCUGGGAGGACGAUCAGCCACACUGGCACUGAGACACGGCCCGGACUCCUACGGGAGGCAGCGGUGGGGAAUUUUGGACGAUGGGCGAAAGCCUGAUCCAGCAAUGCCGCGUGUGUGAAGAAGGCCUUCGGGUUGUAAAGCACUUUUGUCCGGAAAGAAAUGGCUCUGGUUAAUACCUGGGGUCGAUGACGGUACCGGAAGAAUAAGGACCGGCUAACUACGUGCCAGCCGCCGCAGUAA